CACGUAGGGGACGAGCGUUGUCCGGAUUCAUUGGGCGUAAAGCGCGCGUAGGCGGCUCGGAAAGUCGGUCGUGAAAUGCCGGGGCUCAACCCCGGGACUGCGUCCGAUACUUCCGGGCUGGAGGUAGGUAGGGGAGAUCGGAAUUCCUGGUGUAGCGGUGAAAUGCGCAGAUAUCAGGAGGAACACCCGUGGCGAAAGCGGCUCUCUGGGACGGUACUGACGCUGAGACGCGAAAGCGUGGGGAGCAAACAGG
rnacentral:rRNA from 1 species